CAUCCUCAAAACCUUCUUGGUUUCUUGACUAGGAAGGCUUUGGACUCUGGAGGUUCUUGCUGGCCUUUCCUUUGUUGAAGCCAGCUCCUCUGAAAUGAAUUAGUGGGAUCUGCUUUGCAAAUCCUUGACGUGAUAAGAUAUUUCUACGUCUUGGGUUUCGCACUGUUCGCUCUAGAUCCUGCUUCUAACCGUCUCAUAGAAGACAAAUGGGUUGAGUGAUUGACACUUGGCCCACAAACC
rnacentral:misc_RNA from 1 species